rnacentral:tRNA from 1 species
GGCCCCAUGGUCAAGCGGUUAAGACACCGCCCUCUCAAGGCGGUAACAGGGGUUCGAUUCCCCUUGGGGCUACCA